CUACCUGUUCAUCAAGCAGGUGAACGGCAGUACAGAAUUUACUUUUUUAUUUCUUUGGGCGUUCUGAAAAAACAUGGAGAUACAUUUCUGUGUAAUGAGGAAGGGUUAGGAUCAGCUUAUUUAAUAAAGAUUAGUGAAAGCCUAUCCAAAAUGUUUUCCCUCCAGGGCACAAAAAUCUCCUUCAAGUAGCUAAAUUAAAAGACUCAUCAAAUGCCCACAGAGUAACUGAACAUAAUUUUUAAAUCAACCCUUACUCUAAAUGUCAGGAAAAGAAAGAAGACUUGAGGAAGAUUUGGCAUUUCUGACACUUGGAAAAUCAAGUCCACAAAUAAACAGCUGCUGUCAAAGAAGGUGAGUGAGAUGUUUACAAGGUAACUCCACCUGCUUCUGCUCUCCGUUUGCCCACUCACUCUUUCAACAUUCACUGAACACCUAACUGUGCAGAGUGCUGUACGAGGUGCUGAGCAGGAACCCGGGCUCUUGCUGCAUGUUCAUAUCAUUUGUGGACUGAGAUAUUAGUGAUGUCCAGAGCAGUGAAACAUAUUGAAACAAGACAACACUUGCAAAGACAAUCUUUAAUAUUAAGCAACACUUCCUAUUUGCCCAUCCACUAACCCUUAAGACAUUCUUCUCAUUGCCCCCAUGAGCACAGCUUUGCCUAUAAUAGUGCAUAAAGGGCAUCUUUGUUCUCCUCCGAGUGAACUCAGCACAAGCCCAGGGAACAGUGAAACACCCGGGUGGAAAUGAGGUGUCUCUGUGACAGCAGACUCAUUCUUUGGCCCCCAUUUACCCAGAUCAACAUGACUGAGUCAGCAGUGGAUGAAACCGAUGAUUGUUUUAUUCUGCGUUCCCCAGUCACUCCCUGAGUCAGUGGGUAAACUGGGACUAGAACCCAGCCUUGUCCUACCCCGGCUGAGCAGUUCUACUAUAUUUAUCCAGGGUCUCAUGAUUCUUAGUGCUUUUGCUCUGCCCUCUAAUUUGCACUGUGCCUGCUAUAAUAUCAGAACGGGAAGUUGCUAGCUAAAAUGGUCAUUAUCCGGGAAAUCUAUUUAAACAUGUUUAUAAGGUCAGAUAAAGUGGGUGGUAGAUAAGCUAGACAGAAAACAACAAAAGCUUUGGCUUAGCCUAGCCAGUGAGCAAAAGCUAAAGACUGAAGUGUUUCAGUGUUGAACUAGCACAUGGUAGGAAAGGACAGCCUAACCAAAAUCAUGUCAAAAUGCAGAGGUGAACAGGCAAAAUAUUAAACAAACAAUUUCUAUUUCAGAAGCUGGACAAUGGACUUGACUCAUUCUAGCCUAAUGGAUUAGCAGCCUGUC
rnacentral:lncRNA from 1 species